UUUAUACUCUCUUUGUUCUAAACUUCUUGUCUUAGGUUUUUUUAAAUAUGGAUGUAUCAAUGGAUGUAUCAAAAUACUAAAACAUGACUAGAUACAUCCAUAUUUAGACAAAUCUAAGACAACAAAUUUAAGACGGAGGGAGUAUUCG
rfam:Hordeum vulgare subsp. vulgare, WGS project CAJW01000000 data, contig: morex_contig_2145242